rnacentral:lncRNA from 1 species
AUUGUAUUUGGUAUGUGUUAGAAUUAAGUGACCCAAAUUCUUAUUUUAUUUUAGAAUAAGGUUUUUUAAACCUUAUUAAACUUCAUCUAUUUUAGAUUGAUUAGGAUAAGGUGUUUCAAUCCUACUAGAAUAUGGCUUUAUAAGCCUAUAAAUAGACAUACUCUAUUCCUCUUGUAUUGGAUUUUUAAUUUUUCGACAUAGUGAAUUUUCUUCUCCUCUGCCCGUGGUUUUUUUCCCGAAAGGGUUUCU